AUACACUUAGAUUGAGCCAUGGUUGGGAUUUUGCUAGAACGCUCUAUGGAAGAAGAGAGGUCUUACGUAGUUGAGGAUGGUGGCAAGUGGAUAAUUGAAGUGACAGGUCAGGAAUUGAAUUAAAGAAAUGUGCAGGACCAAGGGAAAGAAACCACACAAGUUUACUAAAGGGAAGAAAGGAAGCCUUAAAUUAACGAAAGACUCGAUAUUGUAAGGAUGGCAAUUCUCUCAAAAUCUCAUAUGUAAAUGCAACGUCAUUCCAUCAGGAAUCCCAAUGAAAACUUUUUGAAUGAUUUGCUAAUAUGUUGAUGAAAUUCAACUGGAAUGUUUAAAUGCAUGAAAACACUCAAGAUAUAUUUGGGGGAAAAACAAUAACAGUAAUAGGGACUUACUUACCAGAGAUUAAAACAUACUAUAAAAUUAGUAAACAGUGUAGUUUUAGCAAUGGAAUAAGCCAAUGGAUUUCUGGAGCAAAACAAGAGCCCCAAGUUAACAUGAACAUUUAUUGUAAGAUGAAGGUGACUUUGCCUCGUCAGAGGUGAAAGGAUAAUUUCAUUAAUGGGGUGGGGUAUGCCAAAAAUGUAAAGUUAUAUCCCUGUCUCGUAUCUGACAGCACAAUCAAUUUGAAGUUAAAUAUUUGUGAAGAAAAGUAUAUUCAUAGAACACUAGAAGAGAGACUGCCAGUCAUGGGGGGCUAGAUUUUGUGGAAUGGAAGAGAGACCAGCCACACAGCAAAGAGACCGUUGAAGACUUAGGCACAGCUGGGAGUGAUGUGGUCACAGCCAUAGUGGCAAGUAUUGCAGGGGCCACUAGAAGCUGGAAGAGGCAAGCACAGGUCCUCCCCUAGCGCCUUCAGAGGGAGCAGGGCCCUGCUAGCACCUUGAUUUUUGGACUUCUGGCCUCCAGAACUAUGAGAGAAUCAAUUUCUGUGUCUAAGCCCCAGAUUUGUGGUAAUUUGUUGCCGCAGCCCUAGGGAAUGAUGCAGUGACUGACUCUCAGACAGGAUUUGAUGGAGAGAGUGGUCAGAACUGGUGGAGCUUUCUGCAAGAUUGAUGCCACGAGCUGUGUUUGUCUAGUCUGGGCAGACAAGAGAUUUCCAUUCAUGAUUAAGGAGGGCCCACGUAUCCGCGUGAUGAAUUUGAGGAAGGUAUACUGGUCCUGCAGGGCAAGGAUGUCAUCUGAGUCACUGCUGUAUCCCCAGCAUUUAGAACAGUUAGAACAGAACACAGUCCACUCGCAAUAAUUCAAUGAAUUAAUUAUUAAAUAGAAAAUACACAAACAUGUAAGCAGUAUCCAUUUUAAAACAAUGAAGACAUUAAUUUUUGAAUAAAAUCAACCUGUGGUGGGGACUGUAGGGCCAGAAUAGUUGCCGUCCCCUUCACCUCCCACCUCAUUCACCCAUGGUGGCUCCAGGGGACAGAGGUGCGAGUUUGUGGCUGGUACCACUGCCUGACUUGGAGCUGCUGAAAUGGUAGCCUGGCGCUCUGCCCUCGUGGUGCACAGCUUCAAGCUUCAUGUCGGAGGGAAGAGCCAUCCCUGCAACCAAAUGACACUAAAACUCAGGUUAGAUUAUAGCAAGCUUGACCAACCCAUGGGCCACACGCAGCCCAGCAUGGCUUUGAGUGCAGCCCAACACAUAUUCAUAAACUCUCUUAAAACAUGUUGAGAUUUUUUUUUUUAAUUUUAAGCUCAUCAGCUAUUGUUUGUGUAUUUUAUGUGUGGCCCAAGACAAUUCUUCUUCAAACGUGGCCCAGGGAAGCCACAAGAUUGGACACCCCUGGACUAUAGCAUUAACACAUCACAUAGUUCAUUCUUUUCACAUACUGGGUAAAAAGUAAUUCAUUUGAUAAGCAGUCUGUGAACACCUUCUGUGUGUUGAAUGCCAUGCUGCACUGUGGUGUACAGAGAACAAAGAAGUGGUCCCUACCCUUGAGGCUUCUACAGAUUGUUGUAGGCUGGCUGGUGGACAGAUAAGCAGACAAAUCACUUGGAUGUCGUGUGAUGACAUGCCAUUGAUAGACGCUGAGUAUGGCGCAGGAGCAUGGACAGGGUCUGCUAACACGACACUGGGCAUCGUAGACUUUGCAAAAGAUGGAGUUUUAUUUGGGCCGUAUUGGGGGCAGAGGCUCAGACACAGGUGAAAUGGUUGGUUUACUGUGUGGAAUAGCAUGCAGGGAGCUGGAAUGUACCCGUCCAGAGCGACUCCACAGGAGGAUGCCCCCCAAAAUCCCACCUCAUGUUUCUUGGCCUUAUGCUUUCUAGGAGUCUUUCCCUAAAACACAGAUGCCUCGCUCAGAUUCCUAGAAUCAUUCUAAGUAGGCAUGCCUACUUUGUUGAAUUCCUAGGUUGGUUUUUGAGGGAAGAGACAGUCACAGAGGAUGGAACACGGGAUAGGGGAAGAGAGAGGUUGGAGCAGAGCUCUGGGCAAUUUGGGAGAAGAAUCGCAAAGGGAGGGUUUCUAGAAGGGUCAACAAAGAUAGCCUCAAAAAUCCACAGCUCUUCACUGGACUGGGUCUGCCAGGUGCUCUGGCCCAUCUCUCUGGCCAGCUGCAGUGUGCAUAGAAAGAGGAGCGUGGCUCGUCUUGUCCCCAUGGAAGUGUGAGCUCAGGGCUCUUCUUUUGGGAGCGGAGAAAAAUACUGGCUUGGUAUACAUGUAAGUUUCUAUGUGGGGUAUUAGAAUGAAUCUCAGCUGUUGGGAUCAUGUCUUUUAAUAAUCAAAUAAAGUACCUUUUAUAUACAUAUGUGUCUGUAUGUAUAUGGCUAGUCUGUAAUUUGAUGGUACCGAUGACAGUGAAAACAAUACAUGGACUUGCCUAUUUGCUGUAAGAUCAAGCAAAUACAUUUCAGGCUCUUUUUGAUGACAGCUGUGAAUGUUACUUGCUAGUAUUAAAAUAUUUUAAUUUUUAAUAACUUGGACUCUGUUUCCUUUAAUGAACCAGUUAGAAAAUAUUCUGAGAAACCCUAAAUUUACCCUUAUUUUCAGUCACAAAUAUAUCUCUGAUUACUGUGAUGAAGAAAAUUCCUGGGUCCCUACAUCCUUGCCCAAAUGAACACAAAUGUCACAUUCCAUCUUGAUCAGGAGAUGCCGAAGGUAGAACAUAAAUAAAAGCACAAGAAGCCGUUCAUCACUCUGAGAGAGGUUUAAUUUUCGUUAGGCAGGAAAGAUGCAGACACCACAUCAAAGGCAUUUGUUGAUACUGGGUGUUCACUGUCCCCUUGCGCUCAUGCUGGCUGGCAGAGCUGGAGUGUUCGCCGGGGUUUUUCUGAUUCCCCUUUCCUGUGCUGGAGUAAUGUUUUUCCUUCAUUGCCCAUGUAGCCUUGGCGGCUAUAAUCAGUCACUGGGGCACAUCCUGGAUUGCAGGAGAUGCUUGAUAAUAGUGACUCUUUUAUUCAUUUAUUCCACAAACAUCGGCUGAGUGUCAGCUGCGUGCGUGAACCGUGGGAAGUGCUACGGGGAAGCACAGCUGUGUAAAUCAUGGCUCCAACUACGUGCAAAGGCCUUGUGACGUAAAUAAGCACAGAAGAGGUGCCUGUACCUCUGUGUCUGCUUCUGGAGGAAAUGCUAGAGGCCUGAUCUGUCUCUCCCAUUUAGAGACUGUCAGGGGCUCUCCGUUUCCCCCACCAUAGAGGCCAAACUCGGCCCUCGUACCCAACCUUCUUCAGAACCUGAUCCCAAGCCAUCCUGGUGUUCUCAUCUCCCACUGCCCCGCCCCGUGCGCACCCUAGCCUCUAGCAUUUUGCUCUUCCCCAGUGUGCUGUGUGCUCUCUGCCCCUGGCCUUGAUACCUUCUGUUCUCUUCUCUGAGGUUGCCCGGCUUCAUCUUCAACCGCUGGCGGACUUCUACACAUCCCUCAAAACCAGUUCCUCUGUUACCUCCAAAGUGGCACUCUUUUCUAAGCUACCCCAGCCCCCACCCAAGGCAGAACUGGUCUCUGGGCCUGUGCUAGAACUUCCAGGAUACAGGGGCUCUUUGGGAACAGGACAUUGGGAAGGCAUAUGGGUAUGGGAAGGUGACAAUUUUUGGCAUUCCUGGUCCAGCCUGGGCUGGUCUGGCCCCUUCCAGAUGAUCUCAGCCUUCAUGAAGUUAGGUUCUGGAUACUCUGGAGGAGUGACCCCUCCUCUUAGGACCUGGAAUCCCCUGUGAGCAGGGCAGAUCUGGGGUACACCUUUUAGCCUUCUGUAUGUCUGCAUAGACUUUUGUUUUGCCUUCUCAUAGUUCACAGCUUGUGUCUACACAAGAACUCCCUAAACAUAUGAUAGUGAAUUAAAGCCAUUAACUCCGUGGAGACCCAUUAGCCUGGAUGGUAUUUCAGGUAUGUUUUAAUACUGCUAUAUAAUAUGUCCAUAAAAUGCAUAUCUUUAUAAUAAAAUAUGAAUGGGUCUUUGAUGAAGGAGAGGGUGACAGAAUAUUGUUGGAUCCUGCUAUUUAAGUCUUCUUGGAGUCACAUUCCUUAGCAUCUAGAGGGGGUAACACAGGCCAUGUGAAUGUACUUUCUGCUGGUGAUUAAGUCCCAGACUUGGGAGUGGCUUGCAGUGGGCUGAUGAUGAAGUGCGGAGUGACUCUAGCACAGAAAAGCAACCAGGCCAAGGUAUUUCUGUGUGUAUUUGGUUCGCCGAUCAGCCCUUGGGUUACCAAGAUGAUUAAAGUACAGCCUUGCCCCUGGGAGGGAAAACCAUUCAAAGAAAUGCUGUGACAAAAGGAAGAAGCAUUGAGUGGUUGAGUACAGCAUGUGCAUGAUUAUUGCAGAGCAGGAGGUUGUCAGUGAAGGCAGCCUUAGGGAAGGAGAGGAGUUGAGGUGGAGGGGAAGAUGUCUUAUAAAUGGGGUCUUGAGUGGAGCACUGAGAACAAUGCUGGGUUUAUCUCUCUGAGUGGUGGGUGCAGGGACUCCCUUGGUCAGGGUCCUGGCAGGAAUAUGCCUAAGUGGGAUAAUUGGAGAAAGCGAAAGGAAGACGCUGUUUACAAAGGUGUGGUCAGGGUUAAGAGAAACCAACAAGAGCUGGCAGAGAGCCCUGGAGCUGACAACAUCUUUACCAGGCCUAGGCCCAAAAGGAGCAAGAAGAAAGAGCAAUGACAAGUAUUGAACCAUGAUGUAGGAGAGGGUCGCCCUAUAGGAAUUGUGCCCUUCCGUAGAGGAACUCAGCGACUGCCAAACUGUGGAAAGAGGGCCAGGGGAAGAAAUGCCAGGUCUCCCAUCAGUGUCUCCCAUUGGUCAAGUUCAACAGAAACCAGAGUUCAAGGGAGCCCAUUGAUAGGUGGUCCAUAGAGCUCAUGCAACAGGACGGAGAGCGGGCCCACAGAGCCCACAGAGAACAUCCUGCAGAAAGACUGAUUCGGCACAGGCUAGAGUAGCUCAGCCACGUUGAGGCCCUGCUGAGCUUGGAAACAAUGACUUUGUGACUGUAUCAAACAGGAUAUGGGAUUCUCCUUGCACAAAAGGGUAGGAGAGAGGAUCGUGUAAACAAAUCAUACAGUUAAAGUGAAGCAUGGUGAAUCUAAAAUGUGGUGGAGGAAGCUGUUACCUGAUCUGCCCUGGCAGACUCACUGUGUUAACAGGGAAGCCUUGUUCUCUGUCUGAACGCUGUGGCUGCUGGACUGGCUAGCCUGCAUGCUUUCGGCCAGUGGGCUUUGUCUCUGUGCAUGUGUACACGUCCAUGAUUUGCAUGUUUACCAAGAGUCUCCUGUGUUUGUUCCCAAAUCAUUUUAUGUCAGCUGUGCUUGUGAUUGAGUUUAUACAAUUUAUUUUAAGUGAACCAGUGAAAUAUAGUUGCCAAAAUCUUUCAUUUGCAUUAAAAUUAAGUCAAACAUUUUGGAAAAAGUUAAUAAAGGCUAGUC